rnacentral:rRNA from 1 species
UACCAGCACCCCGAGUGGUCGGGACGUUUUAUUGGGCCUAAAGCAUCCGUAGCCGGUUCUACAAGUCUUCCGUUAAAUCCACCUGCUCAACAGAUGGGCUGCGGAAGAUACUAUGGAGCUAGGAGGCGGGAGAGGCAAGCGGUACUCGAUGGGGUAGGGGUAAAAUCCGUUGAUCCAUUGAAGACCACCAGUGGCGAAAGGCG